GUAGCUCCCUGGGCGCUUCGAAGAUCCAGCGGCUUGCUGUGAGUCCGGGAGGCAAAAUUGUACCCAUUUCAAAGAUGUGAUGACUAAAGUCUCGAGAGGGCCAAGGCUCGCCCAAGGUUGCUCUGUGGUGACAGCUUUACCUCCUUGCUAUGUAUUCUCAGAUAUUGCAAACGGACGAGAGAAAAGUGGAGGUGUUUGGGAGGAUUAAAUAAUGGAAGCGCCUUGUCUAGCACGGGACUGUCUUGCCUCUCCUGCUGUGAGCCACCACCUACAGGCGGACUUUCCUCACCGGAGG
rnacentral:lncRNA from 1 species